UAGAAGAGGCUAAUGCUGUUACGAUGGUAU
rnacentral:piRNA from 1 species